GGGUUUACCUUUUUUUCCCAAAUUUGGUGCAUGCUUUGUUUGUUUCUUUGUUUUGUUUUUCUGUGUGCGGUGAUGUUUUGGUUUGCUGUGAUUUGGUCAAUUAUUACCGGGUGGAAGGACUUACAGGGACAAAAAAAGGACUAAUUGGGAAACCCCUCCCCAACCCCAUACGAUUGGCUGUGGGCGUCAUGCCCUCUCUUAAAAGCCAGAGGGCAGGCGAGAGCAGGGGAACGGCAAAGCUCCGACGAGGAAGAGCCUGAGAGAAGGAACUGCACGGAGACCCAGCAGAGCUACACGGAGGCGCGCUCACUGGAGGAAUUCAAACAUCCGAGGCAAGUGAGGACUUUGACGGGAUCGGUAGAGAAGAAGACGAGCCCUGGACGUGACGCGCUGUGUGGGAGGAACUAUUCAACGCGAUUUCUCAGCUAAUGAACGUCGCAGGGCCAAAGGCUGCAACUAGAGGAGCUGCGCUGGACCUGUCUACACUGAGCUCUGCUCCUACCAGAUUCUUCCCUCUUAAGACUUAGUUGGGAUUGAAAGCUCUUUUUAAUUUAUUUAUUUGGACUGCUGAUCCAGCCUUACCGUUUUUUAAAACUGUUUUAUCCUGGUGGAUUUUAUUAUUUUGUUGACUGUUGACCCAGUUGUAUUUUUGUUUUUAUUCUGACCGAUUCUUUUAUUUAUUUUAGUCUGUUGUCCCAGCCGUAUUUUUAACCAUUUUACUCGGGUUGGGUUUUAACUAUUUUUUAAAGAUCAAGACUGGACAACUGUAUUAAUACAACAUUUUUCGCUGUAUAAAAAUUUUUAAACUAUA